rnacentral:rRNA from 1 species
CCUACGGGAGGCAGCAGUGAGGAAUAUUGGUCAAUGGACGAGAGUCUGAACCAGCCAAGUAGCGUGAAGGAUGACUGCCCUAUGGGUUGUAAACUUCUUUUAUAUGGGAAUAAAACGUUCCACGUGUGGGAUUUUGUAUGUACCAUAUGACUAAGGAUCGGCUAACUCCGUGCCAGCAGCCGCGGUAAUACGGAGGAUCCGAGCGUUAUCCGGAUUUAUUGGGUUUAAAGGGAGCGUAGGUGGAUUGUUAAGUCAGUUGUGAAAGUUUGCGGCUCAACCGUAAAAUUGCAGUUGAAACUGGCAGUCUUGAGUACAGUAGAGGUGAGCGGAAUUCGUGGUGUAGCGGUGAAAUGCUUAGAUAUCACGAAGAACUCCGAUUGCGAAGGCAGUUCACUGGACUGCAACUGACACUGAGGCUCGAAAGUGUGGGUAUCAAACAGGAUUAGAUACCCUUGUAGUC